GGUCUCCUCGAUCUUUCCCUCGGAGGCGCGCGCCUGGGCCGGACGUGUCUCCGAAAUGUACAGCAACAAUUUGUAGAAGCCUGCAUGAAUUGUUGCUGAACAUUUCUAAUUAAGUUGAUUCUAAAACGUUGCCCCACGAUAUGCCGCACUAUUAUUGAGAAGGUUACUCCUAACUUUAGCAGUACUCAACAUCCGCCUGGAACACAGAAGUUCCUCCAGCAGCCAGUAGAGACGCAGUGAAGAAAUACUCGUCCUCGAGUAACCAACGCACUCUACUGGGAAACGAUCCGGCGACCUACUGCUCAUUUAUUUAUUUUGAAUCGGCCCAAAAUACUGCUGACAUGUUUUCGUAUAUUUCAUAAUUUUCGGAAGUGUUACUUUUAUACUCAGUUGAUAUUUUUGUAAUUCGCUUCAUUUGAUAUUAAUAUUUGUUUGUAACAUAUCGACAGUAUUCGUGCAUCCCCAUGUUGUAAAGUUUAGUUUAACCCCGGACUACGAGAGCAUCCAGAAGGGAACACGAGUCCUGGGAGUUGGUCUAAAGGAAUGACACACACAUAUAAUGGAAUCUUAACGUUUAUUCACUUCUAAUUAAUAUGUUUCGGUGUUAUUGCUCUUAUAUGCUAAUUACAUACAUCUAAGGUAAAGCGUUGUUAGGUUACAUGCCUUGGAACUACAACUUUAAUAUUGUUUAUGGGUAUUUUAUUACAGCAUUACCCAUAACUAGUGUAAGGCAUACAUAGGGAUGAUAUAUAAUAUGUGUAGGGCUGUCUGUAGUCGUUAGUUUUAGGUGCUUAGUAAUACGCACCAUCUCGAUGUUUGUAGAUUCAUGUAGUUUUAAAUGUGUAAUCAAAUAAGGAGAAUUUUUUGAAAAUCCACCAUCGUCUUUAGAUUUCCGUUCGCACGGGCAAUGGGCAUAAUAUUAUAAUCUUUAUUAAUCUAUUGGAAUUCAACAUUAUAUCAAUAAUUAAACUUAGCGUAGUGAAUUUGUGUUUUAUUUCACCUUUGCGUUAUGAAACCAUAACGAUCCUCAUUGGUCUGUAAAAACCGUAAUUGAGAUGUGAACAGUAAGUUUCUGGGUUCGACUCUCGGGUAGUGCAUAAAUAUAUCUGAAUUUUUCGAUUAAAUAAUACCUAUGGCUUGGGAUUGAGACGCCUGAUACGCGUCAAUCCGUUUAUAGCCUCUUCUCACGGGAGGGAAAUACUCUUAGUGACUAAUGCACUAUUCAUGUCACUCUUCGAGGUUAGAGACAUUGACAUGUAUGUAGGCAUUGUGAUAUUGCUAUUAUUUAUUUAUUUGAAGUAUUUUAACCACAUAAGAUCGAGAAGUACACACGGCAGGCGAAGUCUACGAAAAGGAAAUGCAUUAACAGCUUAACAGCUAUACUCUAAGCGCCUGCUUACAAUUGGCUCCUUAAAAAUUCUGUUUUCGAAAAAGUAGUUUUGUAAAUUUACAAUGUCUAUUUUAUACGUCUUACUAUUAACUUUAUCUGGAAAAAAACGUUAUUGAGAAUAAAAAAAAAUAAAGCUCUACAUUUAUUUGAAACAUUUCAACCCGAGGCGAUAACAGUCGAUAACGUGACCUCUUGGUAAUUGACGUCAGAAAGAUCAGAAAGGUCUAUAAUAACCCGGUUCAUAGCUUCCCGUUCGUAAUUUAUGUUAAAUCUAAUUAUUAGAAGAUAGAUUUUACAUAAAUUACGAAAAAGAAGCCAGGAAUCGAGUCAUAUGGACCCUACGCCACUGAAGGUUAUCUAGGUGUUUUUUUUUCUUUUUUCAUUUGAUAGGUCGCGAUUUUUAAAAUAACAUUGUUAAUUCGAAUAACUAAUUGUGUUGACGCUUAUAUAUAAAUAAUUAUAACUUUUAAAUAACCAAAUAACUUUAAAAAACGAGAACUUUAUUUAUUGAUUAUUUACAAUUACACCAACGGUUUACCAUUAUAACCAUACAACUAAUACAAUGAAUUUUCUUAUACUAGGUGAUAAACCUUUACAGGUGUAUACAGCAUUAUAUGUUAAGAUUUUGUUUAAUUUAAACAUUUAUAAAGUGGUGUUCAGUUAUUAAGACAUUUAAGUAUUUGUAUUAAGCCGUAUUUCGUAAAGAUUUAAUUAUUGGGUAAAAUACUUUGUUUUUCGAUACAGGUUAUUCUUUAACUCGAUAAUUUGCUUGCAAGAAAUAUAAUAAAUGGAUAAUAUGAUUUUUUCAAAAAGGUGAUGCUGGCGUCUUACUGCUUGGUGAAAGUAUUACAAGAUAUAUAAUAAAUUGAUAUUAAAUAUACUUUCACUUAAAUUAUUUUUAUAUUUGUUUCAUCUUUUUUGUUUAGUGAUAGGAAAUGUUAUACAUUAAAAUUCUAUUCGUGAGUUUGGAUGUUUGUUAUUUAAUCGGUUUCGUUUUUACGGUUGAAUGAAUAUGUAUGAAAUACGGUACGGUACGGUACAGUAAAAGGGAGAGGUUAUCAAUUUGGCUUUUUUUAGUACUUAUAUUUGCUAUGAGCAUCAGAAAAUACAAGGGGUACCAGGUUUUCAUAAAUGCACUAGAAGUAUGUGUGUAAUCACUAAUUGCAUCUAAGGUUUCUGUCACAAAAAAUUGGAAAGCUGCCAUCUCGUAUCGCCAUUAAGCAAAUAUUUGAAUCUGAGCCACACAUCGACAUCAUAUAGUGUUUAUUGUGGAUGCAUCUAAAAACCGCCAUCUGUUGACACUAGUUAAUAAAUAUUAAGUUCCAGGAUUAUUUCCUAGAAAUAAAUUCUAAUUUUAUAAGGAACGGAGCUAAAAAAAGCACCCCAUUGAGUUCGACAUGCGUUUGAAAACGCAAACUCUACAAUAAAAUGUUUUCUCUAAACCAAUGUCCAGUAACUGGCGUCCUUGAGCAAGUGUUUUUAUUUUCCUGCCUAAGCUAUAAAAAAUAUAAUAGAAUUGGCCGUUGCUCUUGAUUCUGCCAAACAACAAAAUGCUGAACAAAAGAACUUAACAGAUCAUAUUGUAAUAUCGUGUAAAGUUAAAAGACAAGUUAGCAUGUAGCAACCAGAUCAGUCAGCACAUGGGUUAUUAAGCUUUUACUAUUACAAGCACAGAUGGAGUUGUAUCUAGGUUUGAAGCCUAGAUCAAUACAUUAUGAGAGGGAGAGCACUACGCUUGCCGGAUGACCGGGAAAUCCGAGAAUGUCCUGAUUUUCUUUCGUGUGAUGUGCAGUAUCUAAUUACACGUUGCACUCUCGAUUUUAUUUCGAAAAAUGACGUAUGAAGACUACGAAAGAUUUACAGAAAAUAAUUUAGUAAUUUGAGAGACGUCGUAUUUGAUUUUAGAUAACUGGUUCAUUAUUGUGUUAAAAAUAUUUUUGUGAAACAAUUUGUAUUUUCAUUAUUUCAAUCCGUUCGAAGUUAAUGCAAUAUUGUCCCCGAAACUGCAUCCUUUACCUGGGAACCCUAGCUACGCGUCCAGGCCCCUUCGUUCUUUCCCUCGGAGGCGCGCGCCUGGGCCGGACGUGUCUCCGGAAUGUCCAGCAACAAUUUGUACCACCCUGCAUGAAUUGUUGCUGGACAUUUAUAUUAUUUAAGUUUAGUCCAAUCAUCACCCCAUGUGCAGCGCUAUCAUUAAGAAAGGUUAAUCUGAACCUUACAAGCAGAUCUCAACAUCCGCCUGAAACACAGAAGUUCCUCCAGCAGUCAGUAGAGACGCAGUGAAGAAAUACUCAUCCUCGAGUAACCAACGCACUCUACUGGGAAACGAUCCGGCGACCUACUGCUCAUUUAUUGUUAGUUUUGAAUCGGCCCAAAAUACUGCUGACAUUAGUUAUUUUUAUUUAAUACCAUCUUGAUUUCGUGUUGUCUUUGUGUUUAAGUGUCAACAGUAUUCGUGUACUCUACCCAUGUAUUAGUUUAUCCCCGGACCGCAGGGACAGUCUGAUUGUAACACUGUCCUGGGAGCUGGCCUAAAGGAGUGAGAUCUACUAGAUGUGAAUGUAAUGGCUUUGAAGCCAACACUAACCACUGAGUCAUACUUUAGCCGCAACAAAGCUUCUUCUUGUUAUAUUAGGGUAAUGCUUGUUCUAUUGUAGUUUAAGAUGACAGUCACGAACGCAUGCAACACAACGAGGUUGUAUGUAAUAGUAUUAUAAGACCAGUUAUAUUCCAAUCGACAAAAUAUCAAUGGUGUAAUAUGUAAUUCUAUACUCUAAGCUAACAACAAUGUAAUUGUGGGGCAAGUGGCAGUAGUGAAGUAAUGUAAUGUUUGUAUUGUUAAUGUAUAAGAAUAUAAUCAUUCAAUAAAAUUAUCUAUCUGUGUAGAAGUGAUAUUAUUAAUGUUUGAUUAAAUAAUAAACAAAUAUUUGCGACGUCCCGGAAGAGCACCGGA
rnacentral:lncRNA from 1 species